AUGGGAGGCCGGGCUUUAUAUACUGGAGGCGGUGUGCCGUGUGGCCCGUGUGCUGACACCCCCACCGCUUCCCGAGGUGGCCGCCGCCGCCCCCGACUCAACUACCGACGCUGCGUCCCCGAGAUCCAAUCCGCCGCCGCCGCCAUCCUCGACCUCAAGCUGGGGCACUUCCUCUCCGGCUUCUCCUCCGACCCAGUUAAUUUCAGAACAAGCUACUACUUCCGCACCGGCGGCGGCGGUGACGGCUACAACUUCAGCACAGUACUAAGGCAACGGCUACAGCACUGGCAUCCUCUCCUGGACUGUUUGUGCUGCCCUUCCUCUCCGGCUCCUUAUCCAACCCCUCCCUCGCCAAGCACGCAAAGUAUGGCUGACGAAUGGAGUGAUGAAGACACUAAGACUGCCGAAGUUAUGAUGGAACAGAUCACAAGGAUAGGUGACAUUGCUGAGAGGUGUCAAAAAUCAUUCGAGUCAUUCAUAAAAACCGAUGAUGCCGCCUCAGUACCUACUGUUAUGAACGCCGUCCUUGCUUGUGGGGCAAAAGAAGGUAGCGAUGAGCACUUCAUUGCUACCGAGCUGUUCGUGAAGAGAACGCAACAGGAGAUAUUUCUCCAUACGGGUGAAGCUUCUGGGUUUGGGUGGCUCCGUAGGAAGUACCGCAGCAAGUAUGGGCACCAGUAGCUACUAUGUCUGCUGUUGAAAUAACUAGAUGUGCUGUAGUUUCAUUUUGAACAAUGUUUAUCUGUUUGAAUUGUAAUGACAAGUGUCAACAAUAUAUAUAUAUAUAUCAAUGCAUCAUGUUUUCUCUAGUCA